UGUUGGGGGGGUCACUGAUAAGGGGAUCAUGUGUUGGGAGGCCACUGCUGAGGGGAUGGUGUUGGGGGCUCAGGUAGGAAGAGAUGGAUCUUUCUCACCAUUCCUGGUGACAGAAACAACGGGAGAGGGAGCAGAGUCAUCCUGCCCCCCUGGGAAGAGCCAAAUGCAAGUUCCUGCUGCUCCAGGGCUCGGCCUCUUGCUGCCACCUUUGCUGCCCUCUCUGGUCACCUGCCCCUGACCCAGCUGUGGUGGCUGUGGAGCACCGUGGUCUGGAUGAACUGGCAGAGACAGGGAACGCUGCUGUGCUCCACGUGUCCCCCUGCCCCGGCCCGAGGGAGCCGGCCCGUGACCAGGAGCCGGACGUAGCAUCCACUGAAGAUCACCAGGAGCUGCUGGGCCAUCGCCUGGAAGGAGCAAGAGAGAGGUCAGAGCAGGGCAUCCCUGUGGGCAGGGCAGAGGAGACAUUAAACACCAUUUUCUCCCUGCUUCAAGGACUGUCCAGCUCUGCCAGGAGCAGGACAGCAGCCAAUGGCACGGAUAACUGUCCCAGAUCCCCUUCUGGCCAGCAGUGCUGUCCCCACAGGGGGGUGACACCGAGUGACCGCUGGCCCGCGGGUGGCCCUGGGGACCUGCCCGCUCUGUCCCUGCCUGUAGACAGCCAGAGAGCCUCAAUCUGCAGGGAUGUCACCUGCACUGAAUUCACUCAGCAACAGUGACAGGAAAGCUGCAAAAUAAAUCAAAAUCAUCCCUUUGGUAGCUCCAUGCUGAGCAGGAAUCAGGACACAUUUGUUGCUCAGCGUGGCACAAGUCUUUGAAGGCACUUUCCAUGGAGGAGACAAAGGCUGGGCACAUCCAGGGCUCAGCCCCAGCCUGGGCAGGGGCAUCAGGGCCCUGGGUAGAGGUUUUCUACCAAACAGGACCUUGGGACCAGCAAGGAAAAGCCCAAUCCAUGAAUUCCUCAAGGAUGAAGCCCCAGCUGCUCAGACUGCUCGGCAGUGCCAGGGCUGGAGAAGUGUGUGUGGAUUUCCAGCUGAGUGAUGUGGGCUGCCAGGGCCUGGAGGCAGCGCUCGGGGCUGAAGUGCACGAACCACAGCUGGAAGGGGCAGGUCAAGGAAGGAAUCUCUCCAUGCUUCCCUCUCCCAGCCCUGGGGACGAUGGGAUGGGCCUUGCAGGGAGCAGAGCUGAGGCAGGUGGUGCCCAUGGGGUGCUCAGGGCAGCGAGGACCCAAAUUACAGGGAUUCACUCCAUUUAUUUUUUACAAAAUUGCUCAUGCUUGGUGCUGCUCUGAGGACAGAGAGUUUUCCAAGAGCAACGUUUGUUGGGGAUGUGAGUCCUGCCAGCUGCAAGGCGGCCAGAGCUCUGUCCUUUUGCACCUGCUGCACCUGCCAGCAGCACAGGGAUCAGGGAAAUGUGAAAUCCAGAGGGUUAGAACGGAUCUGACAUCGGAGCAGACAGAGCAAUUGUAAAUCCCUGGCUUAUUUGCUGCUCUCAGGCAGUUUUGGGACAGGUAGGUAAAGGUGAAGGUUCCUUGGAUUAGUCCUCUAAUGGACUCUGCUGGCCUGAAUAAAUGUGGAAUUCAGGUUUAUAAACAUGGAAUUCAGGUUUAUAGGGGUUUCCUCCUCAUCCUGAAUGACUUUGCCCUCCUGCAGUGCUCCCUGUCCCUUUCCCUGCUUCACCCUGGCUUUCCUCUCCAUUUGAAUUUCAAGCCCCUCUCUGUGUUUCUCUCACCUUCCUUUAACACCUUCACGGAGUCUUAAAACUCUCUUCAUUCCCUUUUAAAUCCCUGUCUAGUCCAGAAAAAUCAUCUCUGAAAAGCAGCAGACGAGCCCAGGGAUGGGGAUUUUGGUUUUCUCCACAUUCGAGUUUUUGGGGGACUGUUUGCUUUUUCUCCCUCUUGGUUCUUUUGGGGUUUGGUUUUUUUUUUUUGCCAUAGGAACUUUGCCAUCACUCUGCCUGUAGGCAGAAUCACCAGCGUCACAGGAGUAUAACAUAUUUUUAGGAAUAAUUGUCUGCCCUAAGGAAUCCCAUUUCAAUCCUUUAGACUCAUUAUUUCCAGUCACCUCUGGGCAUAUCUCAAUGCCCACUUGCAGGAGAAAUAAAAACUUCCCAGUUCCUUGUGCCAUCCCAUAGGAGACAAACCAGAUCCUAGGAAUCCCAGCCUCUGGAUCACAACAGCAAGAAAUACCUGCAGAGCAGGAGGGAUCUGACCAAUUCCCAGCAGAAAGGAUACUUGAAGGAUGUUGUGUGGCCCAUCCAGGACACCUGUAAUACCCAGGAUUAUGCUGUGCUUGAUAAAGAUUUCAUUGACA